ACAUUCCAACAACAUAGCGUUAAUUCAAUAGAUUCCAUUAGAACUCCACAUUUAAGCACGCUCAAGAUAGAGUAGUAUAGGGAUGGGUGACCUCCUGGGAAGUCCCAGUAUUUUACAUGCC
rnacentral:rRNA from 1 species